AAAUUAUCAAAUCUUGGUUCACAAAUUAACAAUUUUUUAGGUUACAUAUUAUUUAUUUUUUGUCACAAUUUAUAUUUGUCAUUGGUCGCAUUAAUAUUUAUUGAUCACAUGUUAACCAAUUUAAUGAUCACAAUCAAUUAAAUAAUUUGUAACUACCAUCUCACCACUGCAUCCAACAGCAGCGCCACCACUAUUGCCAUCGGAACCACUACCACAACCUCCUAAAAGCAAUUACCAACGAUCAAAAUAGUACGAAUUGUACUGCUUUGAAUGUGAAAACAGUGAACGACGUCAAUUACAACCCUGGUAACAAAUGACCAUAUCCCAAUUUAUCGCCACAGCGACCACCGCCAUCACUACCACAAAAAUUAGGGAUUAAACGACCACCACCACCUCCUCACCAACCCUGCCACAACUACCACCACAAAAAUGAGGGAUUAAACAACCACCACCAUAUUCUCGCCAAUCCCGCCACAACCAUCACCACGAACCUCUCACCAUGAUCGAACAUCACUACCUCACCAUCACCACCAUUUGAGAUGAAAAAAAAUAAAUAAAUAAAUAAAAUACACUCCCAAGUAGAUCUGUGCAAAACCAAUACCACCCACCACUACUUCACAAUCAACCCGACAACAGUGACCAUCACCAGCACCAGCACCACCAUAGCCUAACAUCGUCACCAUCACCUAAAAUCAGCAGCCCUCAUAUCUCAAAUCAGCAGCCCAGUCAACUAAUUACACGUUACCAUUUCCAUUGUGCCACUCGAUCCACAAAGCACCCCACCUACCAACUAAAAACCAAGAUCAACAAUGUUGAUUCGCACAACCAAUAGAAACAUCCAACAUCCCGAUCAAUCAAUUGAAACAUCUAAAUCGGCAAUCAAAUUAACCGCUACCACCCAUCCACACACAGAUAGCAGCGGUGUCCAUCAUCACCGGUGGUGUGGCCGUGGGCAUGGUGGUGGCGAAAAGAUGAGUUUAUGACAAAGAAACCUCCCUCACGAUGGCCAUAGCCUGCACCGCCGCCUCAACCUCCAUAACCUCCCUCACGACGUUCACUACAGAAUCCAGCACCUAUGGGACUGAGCUUCGUUUAUAGUGAUGUUACUGCCAUCAAAGUCCUGGCCUUUUGAACUUCCAAAUCUGAUCGAUGAUGGUUUCUCAAUGGAGAUAUAGAAGAGAGGGACGAGGGAGAGAAAUGAAAGUUUUUGAUGCGUGGAGUGAUG
rnacentral:lncRNA from 1 species